GAUGAACGCUGGCGGCGUGCCUAAUACAUGCAAGUCGAGCGAACAGACGAGGAGCUUGCUCCUCUGACGUUACCGGCGGACGGGUGAGUAACACGUGGAUUACCUACCUAUACGACUGGGAUCACUUCGGGAAACCGGAGCUAAUAUCGGACAAUAUAUUGAACCGCAUGGUUCUAUAGUGAACGACGGUUUUGCUGUUACUUCUAGAUGGCUCCGCGCCGCAUUAGCUAGUUGGUAAGGUAACGGCUUACCAAGGCAACGAUGCGUAGCCGACCUGAGAGGGUGAUCGGCCACACUAGAUCGUAGACGCGCACCAGACUCCUACGGAAGGCAGCGGUAGGGAAUCUGCCGCAAUAGGCGAGAGCCUGACGGAGCAACGCCGCGAGAGAGAUGAAGGGCUUCGGAGCGUAAGACUCGGUUAUUGGGGAAGAACAAAUGUGUAAGUAACUAUGCCCGUCUUGACGGUACCUAAUCAGAAAGCAACGGCUAACUACGUG
rnacentral:rRNA from 1 species